UUCCGGUUGAUCCUGCCGGAGGUCAUUGCUAUCGGGGUCCGAUUUAGCCAUGCUAGUCGUACGAGUUCAUACUCGUGGCGAAUAGCUCCGUAACACGUGGCCAAACUACCCAACGGAGAGCGAUACUCUCGGGAAACUGAGGCUAAUAGCUCAUAGGGGACACUACCUGGAAUGGUGCGUCUCCGAAAGGUUCCGACGCCGUUGGAUGUGGCUGCGGCCGAUUAGGUAGACGGUGGGGUAACGGCCCACCGUGCCGAUAAUCGGUACGGGUUGUGAGAGCAAGAGCCCGGAGACGGAAUCUGAGACAAGAUUCCGGGCCCUACGGGGUGCAGCAGGCGCGAAACCUUUACACUGUACGCAAGUACGAUAGGGGGACACCGAGUGCGAGGGCAUAGAGCCCUCGCUUUUGUACACCGUAAGGUGGUGCACGAAUAAGGGCUGGGCAAGACCGGUGCCAGCCGCCGCGGUAACACCGGCAGCCCAAGUGAUGGCCGCUAUUAUUGGGCCUAAAGCGUCCGUAGCUGGCCGUUCAGGUCCGUCGGGAAAUCCACUGGCUUAACCAGUGGGCGUCCGGCGGAAACCGUUCGGCUUGGAACAGGGAGACCAGAGGGGUACGUCCGGGGUAGGAGUGAAAUCCCGUAAUCCUGGACGGACCAUCGGUGGCGAAAGCGCCUCUGGAGAACUGAUUCGACAGUGAGGGACGAAAGCUGGGGUCUCGAACCGGAUUAGAUACCCGGGUAGUCCCAGCCGUAAACGAUGCUCGCUAGGUGUGUCGCAGGCUACGAGCCUGCGAUGUGCCGUAGGGAAGCCGAGAAGCGAGCCGCCUGGGAAGUACGUCCGCAAGGAUGAAACUUAAAGGAAUUGGCGGGGGAGCACUACAACCGGAGGAGCCUGCGGUUUAAUUGGACUCAACGCCGGU
rnacentral:rRNA from 1 species